AGGGAAGGAAAAAAGGAGAGGUGGGGGAUAUGGUGGAGUAUUCAAGAGCUGAAUAAGAACACAAUGACUCCUAAUGCCAUCAACCCCACAAUGAAGAACCAUGGAUCUCAUCAAUUUUAUAAUUCGUAUUGGAUCAAGAAAUUUGGUCCCCCUCUAUG